GGUUCAGUGGUGUAGUUGGUUAUCACGUCUGUCUCACAUUGUGAUGUUCACAGGAGGUCUCCGGUUCGAGCCCGGACUGAACCA
rfam:Fomitopsis pinicola FP-58527 SS1 unplaced genomic scaffold FOMPIscaffold_55, whole genome shotgun sequence.